CGGGACUAGGGGUACCAAGGGGGCGCGUCGCUGGGGGUCCCCGCGAAGUUGGCGCCCACUCGUGCUGGGGCGGGUCUCGAACGCCGACACUUGCGCGGGGCGCGGCCGGCAAUCAAAAAAGGCCCCGGGUUCCAGGUCGCGCGGUUCCGGCCCCUGCGGCCGCCCCUUUCCUUCCUGGGCUCGGCGGGUGCGGGAAAAAGGGUGAAAGAGAAACUUGGCGACCUCCCGGAGGAGUUCGCGGAGCGACCAGGAGCGUGUGCCCAUCGUCCUCACCCGGCACCCAAUUCCACCACAGAGUCGGGAUCUCGUCGGUGAUCAUGAUGGGAUCUGAACCGAAUUAAGACAAACAAGCUUUCACAAUUGCAGCAGAUGAAGAUCCAUUGGUAAAUCGAUCAGAAUUUUUGGCCUACCCUCCAAAGAAAAGGAGCGGAAAGAAUGUCGGAGCGGGCCGCGGAUGACGUCAGGGGGGAGCCGCGCCGCGCGGCGGCGGCGGGCGGAGCAGCGGCCGCGGCUGCCCGGCAGCAGCCGCAGCAGCAGCAGCAGCCUCUGCAGCCCCAGCGGCAGCAGCAGCCGCCACCGCCGCCGCCACGGCGCCCACGGCCGGAGGACGGCGGGCCCGGCGCCGCCUCCACCUCGGCGGCCGCAAUGGCGACGGUCGGGGAGCGCAGGCCUCUACCCAGUCCUGAAGUGAUGCUGGGACAGUCGUGGAAUCUGUGGGUUGAGGCUUCCAAACUUCCUGGAAAGGACGGGACAGAAUUGGACGAAAGUUUCAAGGAGUUUGGGAAAAACCGAGAAGUCAUGGGGCUCUGUCGGGAAGACAUGCCAAUAUUUGGUUUCUGUCCAGCCCAUGAUGAUUUCUACUUGGUGGUGUGUAACGACUGUAAUCAGGUUGUCAAACCGCAGGCAUUUCAAUCACAUUAUGAAAGAAGACAUAGCUCAUCCAGCAAGCCUUCUUUGGCCGUUCCUCCCACUUCAGUAUUUUCCUUCUUCCCUUCUCUGUCCAAAAGCAAAGGAGGCAGUGCAAGUGGAAGCAACCGUUCUUCCAGUGGAGGUGUUCUUAGCACAUCCUCAUCAAGUUCCAAGUUGUUGAAAUCACCCAAAGAGAAACUGCAGCUCAGGGGGAACACCAGGCCAAUGCAUCCCAUUCAGCAAAGUAGAGUCCCCCAUGGUAGAAUCAUGACGCCCUCUGUGAAAGUGGAAAAGAUUCAUCCGAAAAUGGAUGGCACACUACUGAAAUCUGCGGUGGGGCCAACCUGUCCUGCUACUGUGAGUUCCUUAGUCAAGCCUGGCCUUAACUGCCCCUCAAUACCAAAGCCAACCUUGCCUUCACCUGGACAGAUUCUGAAUGGCAAAGGGCUUCCUGCACCGCCCUCUCUGGAAAAGAAACCUGAAGACAAUUCCAAUAAUAAGAAAUUUUUAAGUAAGAGAUUAUCAGAAAGAGAGUUUGAUCCUGACAUCCACUGUGGGGUUAUUGAUCUCGAUACCAAGAAGCCCUGCACCCGGUCUUUGACAUGCAAGACACAUUCCUUAACCCAGCGCAGGGCUGUCCAGGGUAGAAGAAAGCGAUUUGAUGUGUUAUUAGCCGAGCACAAAAACAAAACCAGGGAAAAGGAAUUGAUUCGCCAUCCGGACUCUCAGCAACCACCGCAGCCUCUCAGGGACCCGCAUCCCGCCCCUCCUAGAACGUCACAGGAGCCGCACCAAAACCCUCACGGAGUGAUUCCUUCUGAAUCAAAGCCUUUUGUAGCUAGUAAACCUAAACCUCACACCCCCAGUCUUCCAAGGCCUCCAGGCUGCCCUGCUCAGCAAGGUGGGAGUGCCCCCAUUGACCCUCCUCCAGUCCAUGAGUCUCCACACCCUCCCCUGCCUGCCACUGAGCCAGCUUCUCGGUUAUCCAGUGAGGAGGGCGAAGGCGAUGACAAAGAAGAGUCUGUUGAAAAACUGGACUGUCAUUAUUCAGGUCAUCAUCCUCAGCCAGCAUCUUUUUGCACAUUUGGGAGCCGGCAGAUUGGAAGAGGCUAUUACGUGUUUGACUCCAGGUGGAACCGGCUUCGCUGUGCCCUCAACCUCAUGGUGGAGAAGCAUCUGAAUGCACAGCUAUGGAAGAAAAUCCCACCAGUGCCCAGUACCACCUCACCCAUCUCCACACGUAUUCCUCACCGGACAAACUCUGUGCCGACAUCACAAUGUGGAGUCAGCUAUCUGGCAGCAGCUACCGUCUCUACAUCCCCAGUCCUGCUCUCAUCUACCUGCAUCUCCCCAAAUAGCAAAUCGGUACCAGCUCAUGGAACCACACUAAAUGCACAGCCUGCUGCUUCAGGGGCAAUGGAUCCUGUGUGCAGUAUGCAAUCCAGACAAGUGUCCUCUUCAUCCUCAUCCCCUUCCACACCCUCUGGCCUUUCCUCGGUUCCCUCCUCCCCUAUGUCCAGGAAACCUCAGAAAUUGAAAUCCAGCAAAUCUUUGAGGCCCAAGGAGUCUUCUGGUAACAGCACUAACUGUCAAAAUGCCAGUAGCAGUACCAGUGGCGGCUCAGGAAAGAAACGCAAAAACAGUUCCCCACUGUUGGUUCACUCUUCCUCCUCCUCUUCCUCCUCCUCCUCUUCUUCUCAUUCCAUGGAGUCUUUUAGGAAAAACUGUGUGGCUCACUCUGGGCCUCCCUACCCCUCAACGGUAACAUCUUCCCAUAGCAUCGGCCUCAACUGUGUGACGAAUAAAGCAAAUGCGGUGAACGUCCGGCAUGACCAGUCAGGGAGGGGCCCCCCCAGCGGGAGCCCUGCUGAAUCCAUCAAGAGGAUGAGUGUGAUGGUGAACAGCAGUGAUUCCACUCUUUCUCUUGGGCCCUUCAUUCACCAGUCCAAUGAACUGCCUGUCAACUCCCACGGCAGUUUUUCCCACUCUCACACUCCUCUAGACAAACUCAUAGGAAAGAAAAGAAAGUGCUCACCCAGCUCGAGCAGCAUCAACAACAGCAGCAGCAAACCCACAAAGGUUGCCAAAGUGCCAGCCAUGAACAACGUCCACAUGAAACAUACAGGCACCAUCGCAGGGGCACAAGGACUGACGAACAAUUCCCUCCUUCAUCAGGUAUCCCGGCCCUGCAUAACAAGAUGAUCUCAACUCAAGGAAAAGGGUUUAGCAGUGUUGGAUCUUGGCAUAUGUGGGAUUUCACCAGGCAGAAAGGCAGACAAGAGUAAGAUUCUAGGCAGAUGGAGCAAAUGCAUCGAACAUGGGUAUGAAGAUGUUGAGGGAUAGAGAAUAAUUCUGCAGGAAUUCUGCUGGAUGGAAGGGCCUUAUAGGGUUAGAGAAGCUGGUGUCAGACUGUCAGGGACCUUGAAUGUCAUGGGGCCUCAUCCAGGAACACAUGGGAUCAGGCUUAGAUUAACCCAAAUGUAACUGUCAGAGCCCAGAGAUAUUUCAUGGUCCAGUCCUAGCACCGUGCAGCUGCCAGAAGUCAAAGCCAUUCAAAUCUGUACUGAAAACUUUGGAAAAUCAAAGACGCACUUAAGUCUCUUUCCCCAUCUCUUGAAUUCUCACUCUCUUUUGCCUCAAAGAUCUGUCUUUACCUGCCCCUGUCCCCAGUCCUAACAAAAAGCACUCCCGUAAAUCAAGUCUAAGUUGCUCUCCCUUCUCACUCCUUUCUUAGUCUCCUCUUUCUUGUAAGAAGUUCUUGCUUCUGUUGUUAAUGGAAGUUAAUUAAAGUAGUCUUUCACUUUGUAAGGCUGUAAUUCUUGGCACUUGUUAUCCUCAUUUUCUACAUCCAAAACCCGUGAACUAGAAUAUCUCUUAGGAGGUAAGGAAGAGUGAGGCUAUCAGCCAAAGAAAAAGACUCCAGAGGGAAGGGGAGAAUCACUUGUAAUUUAAUACUUUGUCAAAAAAACAUCUCUGCCACCUAUGGCCCCCCAGUAACAAUGGAAGACAGAAUCAACAGGUGAGAACCUCGGACAAAAAUAAGUUACAAAGCUGUUGUAAUCCAGGUAAGAGCUAUUAAGUUUCCAAACUAAAGCUGACCAUGAGGAUACCUGAUACUGAUUUCAGAAAUCUUUUACAAGUAGAACCAACAGGCCUUGAGGUCUAAUUCUAUUCAACAUUAAAGGGAAGAGUAAGUCUAAGAAGACUUCAGGUUUUUAGCUUGGCCAAACCAAUUGAACUUUAAGUGAAAUGUGUGAUAUGGCAAUAGAGAAGGAAAAAGACAUAAUGAUAGAUUUGAGCUGCUGGUGGGAAAUUGUGGUUUAGUGCCCAGCUGGCUGUACAGGCUGGAUGGACCUUAGGAGGGAGGUUUGAGCUGGAAAAUAAAGAUGGAGAGUUGUCUUUCACUUUUAGAUGAUCAAUGAGGUCAUAAGGGUAGAUGAGUUUACCUGGGAAAAUUAGGUAGCUAUUCGAUUUGGCUUAUUAUGUUAAAAUAAUACUUCUCUAGUUAAGUACUUAAUAAACCCGACACUGUGCCAAGUUAUAUAUAUCCAUAUCCUCUCUUUUACGAAGCCCUCAUAGGGCAGGUAUUUUGAUUCCAAUCAUACUGAUGAGGAACUCCUAAGAAGGUAUCUUGCUUAAGGUCCCAUGACAAAUAGGUGGCAGAUCCAGGAUAAUUCAAGCCUCUCAGAACAGUGAUUCUUAAUUUUUCCCCUCAGGCUCCAGGAAUCACAUGAAGUUAUGGAUCCUGUCUGACCAAGGCACAGGCACAAUACAUUUUUAUAUUCCGCCUCCAGGAUAUCACAAACCUGAAGCCCAUCCUCCAUGGCCCAGAGAGAAAACCCAGGACAAGACCUUGGAGAAGACUAUUUUCAUGAAGACAAAUGGAGAAAAGCACUAGAGUAAAAAGAGAGUGCCUACAGGAAACUCCUUUCAAAACAGAGCUCUGGCCACAUUGCUUUCCUUGGCAUAUAACCAAUGGCUGUUCUUCCAGCGAUGAGAGCCACUGUCUUCACUUUUAAGCAAAUCCAGCUGCCGCUACAAUCCAUGCCACCGAAUGCCAUAGUGAGACUUAAAAGUUAAGAUACUGAAACAUCACAGUUAAGAUACGGAAGAGACAUAACCUGACCAAGGCCACAGAGUUGGAAAAAGAAGCAAAGCCAAGCCCUUUUUCUCAUACACUGCUCACAACAAGCCACUCCUUCCACUGACUCAUGAAAAACACACUCAUAAUGCCCAGCCUGCACCCUAAUGAACAACCCUCUUGGAGAGUGGUCAUCUGACUUCAAUUUCACAGACUAGAAUUCAGAAAUGGAACAAAAUCUUGGGAUACAUGCCUUCUGUUUUGGUAAGGAUCAUUUAAAAAAUGUGUUGGUGUCUGAAACUUACCUUCAAGUGGUUAAAAAACAUAAAAUGUAUAGAUUGUGACAAUAUGUUAAAAGGUACUGUACAAUUCUUUAGAAUGUUAUGGAUGUUUGAAAUUUAAAAAAUACUAAAAAGAAAAUGGUCUUAUUUAAAAGAAAUGCAUCUUCAUUUAAAGUUUCCACUGCAGACCAUUGAAAACACCAUCAUCAACAUUUAAAAACACCCACAUGUGGGAGCCACCGAUCUAGAUACCAUCUGGACAUUCCAUAUCGUGUAUGUCUCUUCCCCAACUCUACUCUUAACCACCCUCGUCCAAGCCACAGUAACAUCUCCUCCAAGAGCUACUAAACAGCGCAACUGGUCUCUGCUACCUUACUCUAUGUAAGACACUGCAGAGGACCAUGUAACUUGGGCUCAGAAUCUUCCAGUGGCUCCCUAUCAAACCUAAAUUAAAACUCAAACUCCAUUCCAUGACCUACAAGACCCCUACACAAAUCACCUAACUCUCCAUAUAUUAUCCUCACAAUCUCCUACUGCUCCCCCGACGAUGCUGGAGCCACACUGACAUUUUGUGUUCCUACAACAUCCAAGCUUAUUCCUGACUCAAAGCCUUAGCCUUUUCUAUCCCCUUUUCUGCAUGCAGGAGGACUCCGUAUGCCUGACUCUUCUCAAUUCAAAUCUCAAAGCAAACCUCAUCUCCUCAAGCAUGCCAUAUGUAAGGAUAGCAUUUUCUCAUCUCCAUAGGUUCAUUUCUAUGUGAAAUUACCUUUUAUAUUUAUUUGCUUCCUUGCCAUCUCUUCCCUACUACUACAAUGAAAGUCUGUGAAGAGGGAGCUGUAAAACAAUACCAAACAUACAGUAAUGGCUCAUUAAGUAUCUGUUCAAUCACUGAUGCAAGUACUAAAAGUCCCACAUUUAACAGCCAAUUUGACCAGAAUUGCAGCAGCAACCUAAAAACUGGAAGGACUUAUCAGAGGGGAUAUGACCAACUGUAAAAUACAAGAUCUAAGAGUCAUUACUGUAGCUGCAGUGUGGUCUACAAAGAAAUCACAGAAGACAACUCUGGUAACAACUGGUCUAAUGACCUUUAACAAAUCACUUAGAGUCACUACAACUCAUUUUCCCAUCUGUUAAUGCAAGGGGCAGAUAUGAGGAAGGCAGAGGCGACAGGAUAUGUUUUGAUAAUAUUGAGGAAAAAACCUCCCCCCUCCCCGUCAAGGUUGAGGGAACCAAUGUAAACAAGUAAACUGUAUAAGUUCAUGUAUUAAAAGGCAACUUUAAAACUUCAAUUAACGUGGCAUUAUUCAGACUUACUGAUCAAUGAAUUCCACACCAACACCAAAUGCUUCUGCCAUAUAGCCAAGGGUUAAUGACCUGUAUGAUUCCAGCAGCUGACUGUAUGCAUGAAUUCUCAUUUCUCUUACAUAGUAUCGAUAAUGAGAGGCAAAAAGCCAGUCCUUUUUCAUUUCCUGUUCCACAACCGCUGCAAUGAAUAAAAUGACAAAUUAUAAGACUCUCCUUUUCAGAUAAAAAGAUUAAAAACUAAAGCAACACUAAUUGAGUCCAACAGAUAGAUGAACAAGUAUCAAAUUUCUCACUGCCCUUCCACAUCAUGUCAUCAACAAUGGCAGCAACAGCAGUAGUAAAGAAGGCCAGGUAUGUAAACAUCAUCCUUAAGUAGCAGGUGGCUAUCUGACAUCACCAUCAGAAAGAGCUCAGCUCUAAAGGAACUUGUUCACAGAUGACAAAGUUCACGUACUAACAUUUUAACCAUGGAGAACUUCUUAUGCCUUAAGUAAAAUAAAGUAAAAUUCAUUUUUUAAACAAUUCUAACAGAGAAACAGCAGGUGCAGUGAAAAAUGAUUUAUACAGACCAGAAAAAAGGUAUAAACCAGACAUUUUCAAAAAGCAACAAAACUCAGAAGCAAGAAAGCAAAGACUGAUGACUCCUAUUUCCUGUUUGUUUGUUCAUGUAAAUAGUCUACAUAACAAAACACUAUGAACAAGGUUUGAAGACAAAUGAUAAACUAGAAAUUUUAUUUACAAUGAUGAGUUAAUGGCCUUGAUCCAGAAAGGUCUUUAGAAGUCAAGUCAAUUAAACAGUAAAAUGUACGUAGAGUAUUAAUGAGCAAUCCACACAAAUAUAAAUUAUUUUACUGAAUAACUCCUGUAUAUCACUGCUCUAGAUAGUUAUAUGGCAGUGAACCAAAAGACAAGAUCCUUGCUACCACAAAAACUAAAUUUUCAAAGGGCAGAGACAGAUCAACAAAUACACAAGAUAAAUCCUGUGAAGAAAAUAAAAGCAACAUGAUACAGUGACGAGCAAGUCCUCCACUGGAUUGGAGUGGACAGGGAAUAUCUCUUUGAGGGGUUGGCUAAGCACAGAGCAAUGUAAAUGAUAAAAAAGUCUGAAGGCAGAAAAAGCAUGGUUAAGCCCAGGAACAGAAAGGAUGGCAGACUCAGUAAUGCAAGCAGGAAGACAACUACAGGGAUACAGAAGGUGAGCAAGAAAAGAGACUCUAGAGUAUACUUAUGUUUGUGGUUUCAACGAGAUGGAAAUCCCUGGAGAAGGAGAAUAUUUGUUUUUAGUGUUGGGGGUCAGGGUGGGAUUUAAGCAUACUUUGGCAGUGUUCAAGUGGAUAUGCCUAUUAAACAGCCAAGUGAGGACACUAAGGAGGCAUUAAGGCAUGAGUCUGGUGCUCCAGUUUGGGGCUGGAGACAUGAAUUUGUCAAUCACUGCCAUUCAAACGUAUCUGAUGGCACAAAAUGAAGAUAAGAGACAAGGGCAGUAACUCAGUCUAAGGCAGUCAGUCACUGAGAGGUGUAACAGUGGAUGAGGAGGUAGGUCCAGAGAAAACAAGAGCAUGUUACUGCAGAACCAAGAGAAAGCUGUGGUGAGAAGCAAAGGAUGGUCAACAUCAAGGCAGAUAAAGAUGAGCAAGGGAACACAUGAUUUAGCAACAUGGAGUUCAAUGGCCACUAACCAUGAGAUGGUACGUAUUCUCACUAAUAAGAGAAAUGCAUAACACAUCAAUAAAAUUAUUUCUGUCCUCUCAGACUGGCAAAGAGUAUGGAGAGGGUGGGACAGGCUCUCUCAAAUGCUAUAGACUGAGAGAAGUAUAAACUGUAUAAAUAUAAACUGGCAUAUUUCUGGGGGGCAACAGUGGUUAAGACACAAUAUAUUUAACCUUUGGAAAGUUCAGUUUCUUAGACUUUUUUCCCAAGGAAAUAACAAGUGGGAAGGAUGCAUUGUUGGAGUGUUCAAAACAGGGUUGCUUAUAAUAGGGCAAAACUGGAAACAACCUAGUUUUCUGUCAGUAGAGGAUAAAUUAUGGCAUAGCCAAUACAUUGAAAUACUAGGAAGUCCUUAAAGGAUAACGUGAAGCUCCUAGGAACACUACCUGUUCAAUUUGCUAUUCUCAAUGUUAGUACACGACAGCCACUCAAAAACUAAAUGACCAAUUAUAUGUAUAGUGACAUGAAAAGAUACACAAUUACUUGUGAAGAGAAAAAAAGGUACUUACAAAACAGCAUGUAAAAUACAUCCACAAUACAUAAAAGUGUUACAUGCUUGUAUCUCUGGAUAACAGUACCCCUGAAGGACAUACUUGAAAACCUGAUUAAUAGCAGUUGCCUUUAGAGAAAGGAUACUGGUGAUCAUAUAUUAGAGAAAGACUUUUUCUUCUUUAUAUGAUACUGUUUACAACUGUAUCACAUAAAGUGUACAUAUAGUGUAUAGUGUAUGUGUACAUAUAGCUUUGGUUUUUAAAUGUUUUUUUCUUUUUUAAAGUGCAUAUAAUAAAUGAAUAAAAGGUCUAGAAGGAUAUAUAACAAAAUAUUAAAAUCAUUGUCUCGGGAAGAAUUUUAUGUGAGUGAAUACGUGUAUGGAUUUGGGGGUGAGGUGAGAUACAAAACCUUUCACUUUCUCAGUUUAUUUUUGAUUUCUAAAUAUAGUCAGGUAUUACCUAGAAAAGGACACUACUUCCUUUUCCAAUUGAAUUAUUUUAGAGCACAUUAGUACCAAGUACUAUCCUGCUGUCAGGGUCAUUAAGAAGAUUAAAAAAAAAGCCUAAGGUCUGCUCCCAGAAAUUCUAGUUAGCAAAGGAGGCAAACUAGGAAAUUAUCACAAAACAGUGUGCUAAGUUUUAGCAAGUGGGGCAUGUGGCCACUAAGUAUAUGAAAAGAUGCUCAAUGAAACUAGUCAUUAGAGAAACACAAAUCAAAGUUACAAUGAGAUAUCAUUUCACACCCACAACGAUACCUAUAAUCAAAAAGACAGAAAAUAGUAAGUACUGGAUGUGGGAACACUGGGACCCUGACACACUGCUGAUGCGAAUGUCAAAUGGUGCAGGCACCUGCUUUGGAAAACUGGCAGUUACUCAAAAAGUUUAUUAGAGGGUUACCAUUAAAAUGCAGCCAUUCCACUCCAUAUGUCCACGGAAAAAGCUGUACACAAAUCUUCAUUAUAGCAUCACUGAUAGUAGCCAAAAAGUGCAAUCAACCCAAAAAUCUAUGAACUAAUGAAUGGAUAAAUAAAAUGCAGUAUAUAUGUACAACAGACUAUCAUUUGGCUAUAAAACAAAAUGAAGUACUGAUACAUGCUACAACAUGGAUGAAUGUGAGAGCAUUAUCAAGUGAAAAGCCAGGAACAAAAAGCCACAUAUUUUCUGACUGCACUUAGAUGGUAUGUCAAGAAUAGGCAAAUCCGUACAGACAAAGUAGAUCAGUGGUUGCCAGGGGCUGGGCGAAAGGAGGAAUAGGGAGUGACUGCUAAUGGUUAUGGGUUUCCUUUAGGGGUGAUCAAGAUGUUCUGGAAUUAUUAUUUUCAAAACCUUGCCAACAUACUAAAAACUACUGUAUUGUACACUUUAGGUAAUUUUAUGGUAUGUGAUUUAUACCUCAAUUUUUUUUUAAAGGAGGGGGCAUACAAUAAGAGCCCCAGGAAUGCAGAGAAGUAAGAGAUUUGUUCUGACUGAGGGAAGCAGGGAAGGGCUCCAUAUUUGAGUUGAGUGAUGACCAGGAGACCCCAAGCAUAAAAAAGGGAAAAGAGCAAUUCUACAAUAGAACCUUAUGUACAAAAGCAACGUAACUUUAUGUGUAUGUAUGAGAAGAUAAGGCCAAGUGAGUAACUCAUCAUGCUGGAGAAACCUGUUCCUACAUUACCUGAGGUAAGUACUAUGAAUUCUCACAAAGCAACCCAAUUUGUAUGCAUGGAGAAAGCAUCCAAAAACACUGGGCCAAAAGCCACUGCAAAAACAUUUAACAGUAAUCAUUUAGAAUCCUCCAUUCCUACUUUUCACCAAUGCUAUCUAUUAAACCAAACACCUUCUGAAAUUUGCAGCAUAAACAAGAGACUAUAUCAAUGUCAAAUUUUAAGUUUUGGGAAAGACCCCUGGGUCAACUUGAUGCAAGCUAAUUCUUCUAUCAUCUUAACAGUUUGUGUCAUUAUUAGGAAACCAAAUAGCCAGGAAAGAAUGGGGACAAGAGGGAAAAACAAGCAAAUGUGUGUAGGCAGGAUCACUACAAACUAGCUUUGAGGGAAUACAAUUAUGUUCAACAGAUUAUUUUCUUAACCCAUAGCCCUUGAAAAUGAUUUGCAAUCAGCACAAAGAUUUAGCUAUUUAGCUAUUGCAUACAGAAUAACCUAUUGCUGAAUUCAAGGUUCAAUUAAUCUCUAACCCAAAUCACAUUCAGAAUUCCCUCACUUCUUGCUCCAUGAGGCUCAAUAUUUACAGCCAUUUGCUAACUUUUGCCUUAUACCCCAGUACGACUCUAAACCAGGGGUCUGGCAAAUAUCCCCAGCAAAGGGCCAGAGAGUAAAUAUUUUUAGGCUCUGCAAGCUACAUAGCUCUCUGUCACAUCCUCCUUUUUUAAACAACACUUUAAAAAUGCAAACUUCAUUUUUACCUCCUGGGCCAUACAGCAGGCCACAAUCUGAUGACCCCUCUUCUAAACAAAAUUGGGCACAUUAGGAACACUGAUCAAAGACAUGCAGCUAUCUACACACUACAUUUCUCAGAUAGGUAAAAAAUCUUCUGAGGUUAUUUGCACAUAGGAUCAGGAGUAAGACAGAUAAUCAAACAUAUCAAUUCUAUCCUUACCUAAUGAUUGGAAGAAAACAGAGUAACGGCAUUCAUAGAGUGAAAACAGAUACUGCCGAACUGCUGGAAGACUGUGCAACACUUCAAGAAUCUCUGCUCCUUUAAUGACCUAGGUAUUUUAAAAAACAUAUAUACAAAAUUUAAAAAUGUACACUUUAAUGAUUUUGUGUAUUUAAAGAAAAAAAAAGUCUUUAAAUUUGAGUAUAAAAGUUUGGUCAUUACCUUUUCCCUGAGAUCUGGUCUUUCUAAGGCAAUCAUACUGACAUAGACAGUAUAAGUCACAAAUGUUUUAUAAUCCAUGAGUUCAUAGGAUGUAAAUGUUGAAACAGUGUCAAGGAAGAGUUCGGCUGCCUGUUUGAAAUCACGAAUAGCCACACAAUAAAGACCCUGAUACACUUUUAGGCGGUUUCUCCUGUCCCAGUCUCCUCCUUCUUCUAUUAAGCUAUGAAAUAAAAACAGUAAGAUCAUAGUCUGGAAACAGACAAAGCCAUGUUUGAAAAAUUUUCUGUUAUUUUGAAAUGAGAAAACAACUUUUAACAACUUGAACCGAAAGGAAAUAUUUAAAAUAUUUUACUAAAUAAGUACAUCAAUUAUUUGACCAAACUUACUGGCUGUAAACAAAACAGGCAGUUUCUUAUAUCAACUUCUCAUUUGUAACAUCAUAAUUUAGAGAGAAUAUAAUCCCACUGUUAGAAAGUACCUUUUGGCCUUUUCUGUGUUUCGUGUGAUGAGAUCAUUAUCCAUAUAAAAUAAGCCAAUCCUAAGGAGAUAGAAUACAAUAUCCAAUCGGUGACCCAGGGCCACAGUUUUGUCAUAUGUCUUGCGAAAGGCUGUCAGAGCUCCCUCCUGUCAAGAAAGCCAAGGCAAUAGGUGAGAAAAGGCUACAAGUUUCCAAAAAAAGCUAUCAGCUGUCUGGGAUUUUCUUCAAAAGUUGGGGGAACAGGUAGGAGUAGAGGUACAACAAGAUGGCCAUUAACUGGUAAUUGUUCAAGCUGGGUGGUAAGUACACAAGGGUUUAUUAUUCUACUUUCUCUACCUGUAUAAAGUAUAAAAAAUACAUAAGAAAUGCCCAAGCAUAUACUUAGAUUCUGGAAAACAAUUUAAGAAAAAUAUAAUAUAUUCACAAUUGUUAAGUAUUUUUCUUUGUUCUGUAUAUUCAAUGUUUUCUCUCUUUAAUAAUCACAACAUACUAUUUCAAAAUAACCAUACCUGAAGGGUUUUGGAAAUUGUAUAUUAGUCGCUAUUAGAAUAUGACUUAAUUUGUAAAUAUAUAAUUUUCUCUCAAAGCAUUGUGGGAUGUUUCCUUUGCUUUAAAGACAAGAAUAUGAAUAAAAUAAUUUAUUCACACUUGGUAGUUUUCAUUAUGUGUCUGCCUGGUUUGUUUUAUGUAAUUAUUAGUUAUAUUUCAUAAAUUUAUAAGAGAACGGGAAGAGAGCAAUGGAUACACCUAGCACUCAGAUCUUGGUUUUUAAAUACUAUCCCCCACUAAAAGGAACCAGGGAUCCUAGGAGAAAUGGAUAAUUCUAGGUUUAUUAGAGUGAAAAUAACAGGUGAACCUGUGACAUUUUGUUUUAUCAGAAAAUAAGACUAAUGAGAUAUGUCAGAAGCACAAAGUGUCUUGAAAGAGCCUCUACUAACAAAUUUGCAACAAACUUAGCACCAUAAAGAAUAAAGACUCUUAUCAGUGGUAACAGUGAAUAAUAAAAGCCCACUAAGUCCAUUAAGUAUUUAGUAAUACUAAAUAAAAUAGGAGGGGAAAAGUUCUUUUUGGAAGAAUGAUAUUUAAUAAAUACAGAGGAAAUAUAAUAUUAGAACAUUUUACAACUUCCUGAUACUGAUUCAAGCAUGUCCUUGUUGAAAUUCUUCAAAACCUGAAUCAAAAGUUUGAAGUUUCUCAUUCAUAUGUAAUAUAUUAGUCUUUAAAACCAAACCACAAAUACACAGCUUAAAAGUAAAUGGAAACCACUAGCUAAUUCUAAAUUUUUAUGUAUUUUCCAAAUUUUUACAAUGACCAAGUCUUACGUUUACAACCAGAAAAGAGAAAAAAACCUCGUUUUAGACAUACAUUACAGAACAUUUAGGCACUUAUUACAUGCUAGGUACCAGCCUAAGCUUUUUCCUAUCUUUAAUCCGCAUUAAGUAGAAACUAUCAGUACCCCUAUUUUACACGAGGAAACCGAGGGUUUCAUAAAUCAUACUUACCAAGGUUGAAAAUAGAACCCAGGCAAUCUGAUUCAAGAGUUGACACUAUUUUUAUUUUUUUAUAUUGGCACCAUGUCAUUCUAUAUCUAAAUACUUCCAGGCAAAUAAUUUAAAAUUAAGAACAUUCAAAGCCCAUUUUCUUAACCACUAUUACACAGUUACUCAAAUUUCAAAGAUCCAGUAAUGGUGGGUACCCCUCUGGUGCCCUGAUGGUGGAGUAAGCUGGCUGUUAUAUAGAACAACUGGCCACACAUAUUUAAAAAAAAAAAAAAAAAAAAAUGUUCAUUGUCCCAACAAUUGUUUCAUAUACUAUACCCUAGAGAAACACUAGCAUAUAUACACAGAGACAUACAUAAGCAUGUUUUUACAGCAGCAGUUUGCCAAAGCAAACACAGAUGAAAACACCACACAUGUCCAACAACAGCUGAACAGGCAAAUAAACUAUGCCAGAGCUAGCUCUACUGUGGAACAUUUGGCAGCAGUUAACCAGGAUGAGCCAGAUUUAUGUAUGCUGGCAGCAAAGACCUCUUAAAUAUGGAAAGACCUCUUAAAUAUAAUGCUGAAUGAAAGGGGCAAACAGGACCGUACACUAGUACACUAUGAUCCCAUGUACGAAAAAAAAAAAAAAAAA